AUUGAACGCUGGCGGCAUGCCUUACACAUGCAAGUCGAACGGUAACGGGUCCUUCGGGAUGCCGACGAGUGGCGAACGGGUGAGUAAUAUAUCGGAACGUGCCCAGUAGUGGGGGAUAACUGCUCGAAAGAGCAGCUAAUACCGCAUACGACCUGAGGGUGAAAGGGGGGGAUCGCAAGACCUCUCGCUAUUGGAGCGGCCGAUAUCAGAUUAGCUAGUUGGUGGGGUAAAGGCCUACCAAGGCAACGAUCUGUAGUUGGUCUGAGAGGACGACCUGCCACACUGGGACUGAGACACGGCCCAGACUCCUACGGGAGGCAGCAGUGGGGAAUUUUGGACCAUGGGCGCAAGCCUGAUCCAGCAAUGCCGCGUGCAGGAAGAAGGCCUUCGGGUUGUAAACUGCUUUUGUCAGGGAAGAAAUCUUCUGGGCUAAUACCCCGGGAGGAUGACGGUACCUGAAGAAUAAGCACCGGCUAACUACGUGCCAGCCGCCGCAGUAA
rnacentral:rRNA from 1 species